AGAGACCAUUCAUCCCUGAAAACAGGAGGACACCAGCACACAGGCGGAACCAGCACACAGGAGGAACCAGCACACAGGUGGAACCAGCACACAGGCGGAACCAGGCGCUGCUCCAAGAAGACACAGUGUCGAGAGCCAACACCAGCACACAGGUGGAACCGGCACACAGGCGGAACCAGCACACAGGCGGAACCAGCACACAGGUGGAACCAGGUGCUACUCUAAGAAGACACAGUGUCGAGAGACCAUUCGUCCCUGAAAACAGGCCAUCAAGUUCCAGAUGACCCUCAGCGGAAUACCAUCCUCUCAAGAUUCAAGAGCCAUCCUUCUACAGAGGACCCUUAGACUGCCCAUCAGUGUAAAGCAACAGAGUUGAAAUCUUGCCCCAUCUCCCUUGGACCUGGCUAGACACUGCUUUCACCAACCUAAAGAGUCAUCUGCCUUCCCUGACAGCAGCAAGAGGCCAAGACCCACAGAACCACCACCACUGCCCGUGUGUCAACAGGAAGCAGUUACAGAAGACUGACCUUAAUCCAUUUUCCCCCAAAAUUGGGGUCUUGGACUCUUGAGGGGGAAAUGCUACAGCAGGAAGUCAGGCAGACGUGAGAGCCCCCCUGGCCAGGAAUGUCAGGUAACUAUCAGGUGAUGGCCAGGAGGUGGUUAACAGUCUCUCCAAAAUAAUUGGUCACAGCUGGCACCAGGGAACAGCAGUUUCCCAAUGGACAGAAAACACCUGAAACUGGAUCAGCAGCUUCCCCAUAAGAUCUCAGGAGCUGGGUGAGCAGGCUCAAGCACGCACACUAAAAGGCAAAAUGGUGGAGUUUAACUGGUAUAUGACCUUCCAGGAAUAUUCAGCUACUAUGGGAAGAACGCCUCAAGCAAGCAGACGUACAACUUCAGUAAACCUACUGUGCACAUGGCCCCUCCCAAGGGCUGGCAGGCCACUGUGCAUGCGGACAGCCCACCGCAUGGGAAUAAUCAGGGGAAAGGGAUGCAACUGAAAGCAUGCCAAUGGAUACAACUCCAAGUCAAAGGUCAAACCACACACUUGACUUGCUCAAGCCACCAACUUGCCUUCUUCCAAGUGGACUUUCCUUUCUUUUGUUCCCACUCUAGGCUUUUUAAUACGCUUUCUCUCCUCCACUAAAACUUGCCUUAGUCUCUCCUUCUGCCUAUGCCCCUCAAUGAAAGUCUUUCUUCCGAGGAGACAAGAACUGAGGUUGCUGCAGACUCAUACAGAUUCACCAUGGCUAACCCUCAUAAGUCACGUGCCAGCUCAGGACAGCAAUGUUUAUCUUUCUUCCUGCUGACUCUGUGUUGUUGAGGAAAACAUCAUAUUUUUGUCUCCAAGAUUCAGGCUUAGAAAUGCUUCUUCAUAAGGAUUCAUUUUGAUGCUUUUGCUUUCCCCUUGAAAUCUACCUGAAAGGAUCAUCCAGAAUUGAACCUUCAGGACCUAAGCCUCUGGGCAAGAUUCAAUCUUUCCUCCCUUUUCCAGCUCUGCAUAGUGUAAAUGUGGUGGGGUUUCACCCCAAUUCCUGUUGUAAACCAAAAAGUAUCUGAGAUGGGUCUCAAUCAGUUUAGAAGUUUGUUUUGCCAAUGUUAACCGCAUGCUCAGGAGAAAAAUAACAACACGGAAUCACAAAAACAGUCCAUGGUGUGUGCCUUUCUCCAAAGAUGAUGCUAAGAGCUUCUAUAGUUGAAGGGGAAAUGGGAGCUGGAGGGGAAAGAGGAAGGGUGUGGUCAUCCACAUGCGGCAAGAGGAAAGGACAGGCAGAACAGUCAACUGCGCAACCACCUCCUGCCCAGCAACUCUGCACUUUCCAUAAGACAAAGUGGACAUAGAGCAGCUGCUUGUGGAGAUGCAUCACCUUCUAUCUGUCGUUCUCUGCUUAGGAACAAAAGGAAAGGCAGCUGCUUGCACGACUCGUCUUCCAGCUUCAUUCCUCCUCUUUGCAGAGUAAAUGGGGUCCCCAGCUCUUAGUUUCCUUUCAUGGUGCCGCAGCCAGAGUGAACGCAAUAAUCAAAUGCAUUUUCCUUCUAUGUAGAGAAAAGGAAAAUAUACUUUACCACCAAUUUUUGUGUCUAUUUUUAUUUGCACUGUUUGAAAUUGGUAAACUCUGAUUACUUCCUUUGAGGUCACUUUACCCACACAAUGCCUCCAACGCUGACAUGGACUCCGUUCUCCACUAGCUGCAGUCAGGCCCCUCCUCACCUCCUCCUGCCAUGGCCCAGUUCUUGGCUGCUGAGCCCAGGUUAGCAAGACUACCCGAGUCGAACCCAUGUCCCCGACCCCUCAGCAUUCCUGGCCCUUCGUCCCUGGAGGUCCUUGCUGUGUUCGGCUGAGCCCAGGCCCGCACUUUGGCCUUGCAGCCCUGAGGCAGCAACUGGAAUAAACUCUGUCUUGCUAUUUUUAACAAGCCUCUGCUACAAAUCACAACAGGCCCCUUUAGGGUCUGGCAUUUGAAAAGAGUAAUUCCUUUUCUAUUAAAAAAAAUUCCUUAAAGACUUUAUAUAACUGAGAAAAAACCUUGCAAAGCAUCACUCAACAGCAACAAGAAAACACAACAACUUAAAGAUUAGGAUAGAGUAAACAGGGUUUCAUCCCAAUGAAAGUGCCAGGGCUGAGCACCUGCUGAGAAGGUAGUUAUGCUGAAGGAUCCCCCUUUGCCCUGUCCCCUGAAGGCACUCACAUCUGUAAAGCCCCCUUUCCUUUCCCUGCUGUGCUGAUUAUUUCAGGGCCCUUUCCAUUAUCCCGAGCUGCCCUACCUGAAUCCCUGUCAUCCAGCCCACAGCAACCCCUCAAGCCCUACCUCAGUCUCCCCACGUGACCUCCCCCACAUGCUGGCCUGCACCCUUCUAGGGUGGAUGGUUCUCUUACUUGGUUGUGGACACACAGGGUGGUCCCUGCUCCUGCCAAUGGAGUUCAUUUCCUCAGCCCAGCCCGGGGUGUCCACUUUCCCACUCUGACCAUACCCCUCGUCUCUUUCUGGUGAGGACCUGGGAGCUGCAACCUCCACCCUCACCCUCUGUUCUCCAUUGUCCCAACAGCCCUCUCCUGCCCAUCCCAAUCCUCAAGACCCCUGCUUAGGCCUUCCUAUGCCGUUCGCUGCGCAGCAGGCUUCUCCCUUGUGUGGGACUCCGCACAUGUCCUGCCCGUCCCACCUCACACUGAGUUACUGAUCCUCUGGUGGGCGCCCCCCUGGCACCUGCCUGUGAGAUUGGAGGCUCACCUGGCUUCCAUACCACCCCCCAGGAUGAAACCCAGGGCUUCGCGUGUGGUCGCGUUCAACAUCUUUUCCAAAUACCUGCAUGAAUUCUGUGACAUUUUUAUGCCUAGCACUGCAGGCGUCUGAGCCCUCAUAAAGUCCUUUCACUUGACCUUAAUUACACAAAUGGAUAUGAUUCUACAGGGG
rnacentral:lncRNA from 10 species